rnacentral:rRNA from 1 species
GACGAACGCUGGCGGCGUGCCUAAUACAUGCAAGUUGAGCGAUGAAGAUUGGUGCUUGCACCAAUUUGAAGAGCAGCGAACGGGUGAGUAACGCGUGGGGAAUCUGCCUUUGAGCGGGGGACAACAUUUGGAAACGAAUGCUAAUACCGCAUAACAACUUUAAACAUAAGUUUUAAGUUUGAAAGAUGCAAUUGCAUCACUCAAAGAUGAUCCCGCGUUGUAUUAGCUAGUUGGUGAGGUAAAGGCUCACCAAGGCGAUGAUACAUAGCCGACCUGAGAGGGUGGUCGGCAACGUUGGGACUGAGACACGGCCCAAACUCCUACGGGAGGCAGCAGUAGGGAAUCUUCGGCAAUGGACGAAAGUCUGACCGAGCAACGCCGCGUGAGUGAAGAAGGGUUUCGGAUCGUAAAACUCUGUUGGUAGAGAAGAACGUUGGUGAGAGUGGAAAGCUCAUAAAGUGACGGUAACUACCCAGAAAGGGACGGCUAACUACGUG